UGCCAUCAGAUGUGCCCAGAUGGGAUUAGCUAGUAGGUGGGGUAACGGCUCACCUAGGCGACGAUCCCUAGCUGGUCUGAGAGGAUGACCAGCCACACUGGAACUGAGACACGGUCCAGACUCCUACGGGAGGCAGCAGUGGGGAAUAUUGCACAAUGGGCGCAAGCCUGAUGCAGCCAUGCCGCGUGUGUGAAGAAGGCCUUCGGGUUGUAAAGCA
rnacentral:rRNA from 1 species